rnacentral:snRNA from 1 species
GAAUUUUUUUUUUCUUCAUCGUCUGUCACCCCCUUGAUACCAGGGUUGAUUCAUCUGAUCUGGCUGGCUGGGCACGUGUCCCCUUCCUCCCUCACCAAUCCUUGUCUCCAUGAGCUUCCCUCCCAAAGCACAUCGUAAAGGAUGACUUUUCCUGCCAGAGGAGGACCAGUCUUCUGUCAAUGGUAUUCAAGUAGCUGUGCUCCCCUGCUAGAACCUACAAACAAGCUCUCCAGGUCCUUCUUUCUUUGAAAACACAAAUGCAAUCAACGCAACUAGGUCAAACACAGUAUGAUGGACUAUAGAUAAAGUAUUUUUCUAA